AUGUAUACAGUUGCUUGGCUUGUGGCUUCCGAUUCCGAUUUCAGUUUAGUUUUCACUCUUCAGAUUUUUGGUUUUUUGAAUUGAGUUUUUAUAAAUGUUAAAAACUCAUUUCUAGCGUGAUUAAAAUAUGCUGUUAUUUGGUAAUGGGAUAGCAUCCUUCUUAUUAAAUGCAAUGUAUAAAAAGGUUAUUAUCCUACUUAAAAUACCAUUCAACUUUAACUAACACAGUUGGACAAAAGGCUGAAGGAACUUCAGUGAAGAGUGAACCAGAGAUGUGUAGUUCCAUGUUCAGCACAUCUGAGCUGGACAAUGCAAUGUACAGCAAUAAUGCACAUUCAACCUCCUCAGUUGAGUCAACAAUGGCUGCGAAAAAAACCAAACACUACAACUGUGUUCAGUGUAGCUUUCAAACUCGCUGGUUUCAUAAUCUUAAAAUACACAUCAGAAUUCACUCUGGAGAGAAACCUUCCAAUUGUGAAUUUUGCGACUACAGGCUAAAUGUGGAAAUUCAAGUGACUUGAAGGUUCAUUUCAGAACACAUACAAACAAAAAACUUUUCAGCUGCGAAUAUUGUGACUAUAAAUUUGUUCAAUCAAGUACUUGGAAAAAACAUAUAGAAAGACACAAAAGAAAACAUUGUAGUUGCAAAUCUUUUUACUACAAAUGUGCCCAAUCAAGUACUUUGGAAGGACAUAACAGAGCUCAUACAAAAGAAAAGCCUUUUAGAGUUAUGUGACUUCGAAUGAGGCUCUAGACAAAUCAAUAUUUAUUAUUGGGUACGAUAAUAAUCAUAUUAAGUGUUUUCUACGUUCUGUCAGUAUUCUUGAACUUGAAAUAUUUUUCAAUAUUGUGUUAUUUGACUUGAAGUGAUAAUGUUCAUGGAAAUUCUUGUAGUUUUGGCUAUUCUAAAAAUCAUUAAAUGAAGUUCAUCACCACUUCAGCUAUUGUUACUACUUUCUACGCAUACGAUGAACACAUAAGUGAGUGGUAAUGAGUUGAGUGUGAUGUUUCGGAGUAUUCCAGGCGGAGUGGGAAUCGAACAUGAAGAUGCAACGGUAACGUCUAUUGGACCACAACUGGGACAUUGGUAGCAACAACUACUUUGACAUUGUUGGACAUUAUUGGAAAGUACCGCUAAGUAUUCCAAAAAGCCGGUUAAACCAUUAGCUUAGAGUUCUGAGGAGGAGUUGUCCAAGGGCUAACUUUUAUAAUGAGCUGGCGAUAGGAAAACAUGACUGAAGUGAAGGUAUUCUGAAGAACUGGAAGGAUGUGGAAAUUUUUUCAAAUUUAGGAAAAGCCAGGAGUAGCACUCAACCUGCUUUGAAAAUUCUCUAUGACUGAAGAUGGAACAAAAUAGUGAAUGAAACAAAAACCUUGAUCAUGAUGCACCAACCGUUCCAGCAAAAUCAACGGAGAUGGUGGUGGAAGAAGGCUGUAAAGGUUGAAACUCGAGUCAACAAAUCGUCAUCUCUCCAGGGAUCAACAUGAAGCAGAUGAAUGUGAUACACUAGCGGUGACUUACGCAGUGCAGCUGAGAAAGUUUUCAGCUUGGAGGACAAAUGUCACCAUCACAUCGCGGCUCAAUCGAAACAACAGUUCAAGUGCUUUCAGCAUGGAUUCAAAGGACAAAUUCAAUCCCAAGUAUCCAGAAGGACAGGUAUUUCCCAAUAAUAAUAUAAGAUCAACAAUGUAGGAUAACUAAGACUAGACUUGCUGCUCAUUCACUUUAACACGGAUCCUUUUAUUUCAUGACUAGUAUCUAGUAAAAUUUAUAAUUCAGGUUUCAUUUUAUAGGGUCUUGCUUUGCUAUUCAGUAAAGCCUAGUUUACACAUCGCCAAUUGGCGAGACAGCUGUCUUUGGACAAUUGUCAUCACGUGGUUGCGGAUUGUCGGAGGCCAGGCCAGUUGAACGAAAACAUGUUUAUAAGCGGCCAACUGUUGGCACGUCAGUUGACAGCUAAACAUGGCCGACUUCUCGUCAUCUGUUGUGACUGAACUGCCAAAAACAAGACAGCGCUACUGGCCUACACCGUUCACACGGCGCCAACUGUCGCGACAACUGAGAUUCCGAGUGAUGGGGGGCUCGUUGGGCCCAAUUGACUGUCCAUAGUGUACUCCCGGAGACAGUAGAAUUUCGGGCCCAUCGUCGGGACAGCUGGCAAGACAAAUGGCUUGAAGUGUUUAUACGAAGACAAUAAUUUCAUGCCAGUCAGUUGCCUUAUGACAAUUGUCUCGCCAAUUGGCAUCGUAUAAACUAGGCUCAACAGCUGACUAAAAGAUGUAACACACUAGACAUUCAUAUUUUGUAAUAAGUUUCUUUGAAAAUCUCGGACGCCUGUUAUAAUAGAAAUGCUGCGUUCAUGAACAUGGUGUGCUAUGCAAUUCACACUUGCAACUAAACAUUUCUUAUAGGCCUAUUAAUCACAAAAAAUACAGAAUUAACGUAAAGUUUGUGAGCAGCUAUUGAUUGAAGUCAGCCAUUUCCAUUACAAAUCAAUAUAAUAUGAAAAAAUAUUACUUUCAAUUUGAAGAAUAUUUUUCUAAGCUAUUGUUCAGUACCUCCAAAAUGUAACUAAUGUAGCUUUGGGAGAAAUACUGAUAAGAUUUUGUUGUGAAGGUUAUUUUAGCACUAUGAUAAGUGUUAGGGUUUAUUGCAUUUUGUACAAUAUAAGUUAAUGGAAUUAAAUUCAUGCCACAGAAUACUCUUAUCUGGUUUCAAAGAUACAGUCUUAGACAUUCGUUCAUUUAUAGAGCAAUCAAUCAAUAUUAAAGUGAGAGGAAAAACAGGCGAACCUGUAAUCCCAAAUUUAGAAUAAUAACUGUUUUAUAUAAAGUUGAGUAACUUCCCAUUUCUUCCCCUUCUGAUGCAAUUUUUUGUUGCAUACAAAAAAAUGUAUGCUAAAUUUUUUGAGAAAAUAAAUUGUACAUGGAAAAUUUAUUCAGAAUCUCUUUUGAAAUACAAGUUGUAACGUUUGUCAAAAUAGCAAUGCAAAUGUUUGUGGACUUCCAAGUGGGUCCUCUAAGCCACUGUGUCAGUUUUUUGAAACUCAAGACUGUUUUAAUGAUUUAGUUGAGUGAACUAUGCCAAAUUUGUAGGCAAUGUGCCAUGCUUUUAAUUCCUUUUAAACAGGUACUUUCAAAUAGCUUUUAAUAUUAUCAUAGAAUGCUGAGUCCAAUCUCUACACUAUAAUGCAUCUAUCGACACAAUCCAUAAAUGAGAAACUUCACAUCUUAUUAUUUUUGAUCAUUCUAACAUUCAAUAAAAGAGAAGCUAAACAAUUUGUAUAGUAACUAUUCGGGGCAUUACACGAGCAAUGAAUGAAAAUCGAAUUCAUCUUUCCUUUCUCCUGACUGCAAAUGUUUCAACUUAGCGAGAAUUUUUAAACCGAAACAAGAAUAUAGCAUCAUCAAGUCCAUCCUGUUUCAAUCUUUUCACAGCGUUAAUAGAAUUACAAAACUUAUCCAAUACAGAAGCCAAACCUUCUACCUUGAGCACUUUAAAUUAAAAAAUUCCCUUACAGAAGGCUUCCAAUUGCGCUCUCGAAUUGUUAUAGUGAUUGACUAGAGCAUUCCAAAUUACACUAUAUUUUGCAGCUACAGUAGGGAGAUACCUACAAAUAUUAUAUGCUUCACCGGUGAACUUGGAUUUUUGAUAUUGAAUUUUUUGUUGGUCAGACAAUGAUUUAUUUUUGUGAACGAGGGUUUUGAACAACUCUUAGAAAACAGCCAAAUCAGACUGGCGAUCAAUGAAUUUUCUCAACAAUUUCUGGUAAUAACAUUUUAUUAGACAAUGCUGGAGUUAUUAGCGCAGAAUGCACUGAAACAAUAGUUUCCUAUUUAGUUUGAAGAGUUUCAGCUGUAUCAUAAAUUUUCGAUGCCAUAUCCAAGUAACUAUCAUUGAAGAAAGGCACAUAAUUUUUUUCCCAAACUUGACUCCAAUUUAUUGAUAAAAAGCCCAGAAAAAAGAUCAGAAGUUCGUUGAAUUCGUUGGAAUUAAGCUUAUUUUGCUGUAUCUAUUUGACAUGAGGGCUCAGCUGAAAAAGCAUUGAGAAUCAAUAUAAAUUUCAAUAAAAUCAAAUACAAUAAGAAAGUUUUGCUUUAGAAGUAGACAAACAGAUAGCUUAUCUGUAAUGAACUGUACAAUUGCAAGCAUUAAAUUACAUGAAUGGAACUAGUUUGCUGCACGAUCACUGACAAUCGCUAACAUGUCAAACCUCCAACAAUGACAUGAAUAUGAAACAUAUUAUCACUUCAUGAUAUGAAGUUUUAUUUCAGAAUGAUAUAGUGUAAAUCCAGCAUAAAAUAAUUCACAAAAUUGUAAUUUUCUGUCAUUGGGCUGAUGUCAGUCAUUGAAGCUCUUUUUUUGAAUAAUCACAUUCAAUUUUCCUCUUGAAAUGCCAUAAUCAUUUGGAAAAAAUUUUCACACACUUUUGUUCAAUUUCAUUAUUUACAGCCAGUUCAUAGAUGACGGUAAUUAAUCUAUCAUUAAAACGUGUACUGCCUGCACAUCUCACUUUUCUACAUGCUUUUUUGUCACUUAUCUCAAAACGCUGGUCCCGACAAAAAGUAUCCCCCAACUUAUAGAAUUCACUAUGAAUUAGCUGCUGCAUCUCUAUACUAAUCAUAUUGAUACAGUUCUUUCAGCAACAAUUUUCUAAAGGCACCAGCGUUUUAGCUUCAUGCACUUCACCUCUUCUUGACGUAUACUCUAGUCCCAACAUUUUCUGUUUUUUCAUGCACUUUUUCUUACCUCCUUCAUAAUUUGAUUUCUGAAGAGACUGAUCAGUUUUAGUACUUCUAUCUCUUGAUUAUUAUUUUGGCCGUUGAAACAGCUGAGCUACUGCUAACAUUUUCAGAAUUUGGAAUGUAGUCAUCUGUAAUAUGUUUAAAUAUAUCCUCAUCAAAUUCAAUUUAUUUACAGCCAACAAUACAAAAAAUUGUAUCAAAAAAUACAAAUAUUUGUACGAGUAGUUAUUUAAAUAGUUGAUACAAGCAAAUAAAAGUAACAUAGAAUAAUACACAUAAUAGGCUAAAACGUUAUAUGGUCAUUAUUUAUAUGGGUAUUUAGUUUUCUUCACAGUUAUAUACGGUACCGUCAAUUCAUCUAUAUAUAUAAAAGCGAAAUGGCACUCACUCACUCACUCGCAUAACUAAAAAUCUACCGGACCAAAAACGUUCAAAUUUGGUAGGUAUGUUCAGUUGGCCCUUUAGAGGCGCACUAAGAAAUCUUUUGGCAAUAUUUUAACUCUAAGGGUUGUUUUUAAGGGUUUAAAGUUCGUCUUUUAGCAUGUAUAUUCUUCUUCUCCCAAUCUCUUAAUUAUAAUUGAAAUUUCCAUAUCAUAUGUUUCUAUAGAACUAUAAUCUAGAUAGAGUACCUCUUCGAAACAGUUGUUAACUGGCAACUAAAUUAAUAAUUUUGUCAGGUUGGCAUUAAGUUGAGUUGACUUUGUUAGGUUGGCACCAAGUUGAAGAUUUAAAUGCAUUUAUC